rnacentral:rRNA from 1 species
CCUACGCGAGGCAGCAGUGAGGAAUAUUGGUCAAUGGACGAGAGUCUGAACCAGCCAAGUAGCGUGAAGGAUGACUGCCCUAUGGGUUGUAAACUUCUUUUAUAUGGGAAUAAAAUGUUCCACGUGUGGGAUUUUGUAUGUACCAUAUGAAUAAGGAUCGGCUAACUCCGUGCCAGCAGCCGCGGUAAUACGGAGGAUCCGAGCGUUAUCCGGAUUUCUUGGGUUUAAAGGGAGCGUAAGUGGAUUGUUAAGUCAGUUGUGAAAGUUUGCGGGUCAAACGUAAAAUUGCAGUUGAAACUGGCAGUCGUGAGUACAGUAGAGGUAGGCGGAAUGCGUGGUGUAGCGGUGAAAUGCUUAGAUAUCACGAAGAACUCCGAUUGCGAAGGCAGCUCACUGGACUGCAACUGACACUGAGGCUCGAAAGUGUGGGUAUCAAACAGGAUUAGAUACCCGUGUAGGC